GGGCCAGUUUACAUCAGGAUUCGCCAAGAAGCUGAAGCUAAAGCCUGGAUCGGUUCCAGCUGUCCGUGACCAAGCUACAAACGUGGAAGCUGCCAGCACAUCAACUGCAACUACAGAUGUUCCUGCAUCGAGGGAUGCUGCAUGCCAGACUGACCCACUGGAGACCCGUUCUGGAGGCACACAGCUGUCCUGGAGGACUCUACAGUCUCAUGUCAGAAGUAAAGGUGUCCAGGCUACUGUGUCCUGCUAGGAUGUUGGUGUUGGGACAUCCACUAGAGAUCCUUUUUAUUUAUCAUCAACACCAGUAAAGAAACCUUCAAAGAGAUCUCGUCUCAACCUGGACGAGGAGCAGGAGCGGGAUUCAGAUCAAUUACAGGACACCUCUUCAGUGGCAUCUUCAAAAGGGCAGGACUCCACCUAUGACCAUUCAAACUCUUUGACAUUUCCUUUGACUCUGUCAAUAUGGUUCUAACUAUGACAAUAUGACACAUUUCGCCGGCAUGCCAGAUCCUUCA